AGUUUGAUCAUGGCUCAGGAUGAACGCUAGCGGCAGGCUUAACACAUGCAAGUCGAGGGGCAGCGGGAUGUAGCAAUACAUUGCCGGCGACCGGCGGAUGGGUGCGUAACGCGUAUGCAACCUACCUUAUACAGGGGAAUAACCUUUCGAAAGGGAGACUAACACCCCAUAGUAUUGAUUUAAGGCAUCUUAGAUUAAUUAAAUAUUUAUAGGUAUAAGAUGGGCAUGCGUAUGAUUAGCUAGUUGGUAAGGUAACGGCUUACCAAGGCGACGAUCAUUAGGGGUUCUGAGAGGAAGGUCCCCCCACACUGGUACUGAGACACGGACCAGACUCCUACGGGAGGCAGCAGUGAGGAAUAUUGGUCAAUGGGCGCAAGCCUGAACCAGCCAUGCCGCGUGCAGGAAAGACGGCCUUAUGGGUUGUAAACUGCUUUUACAUAAGACUAACCGUAUAUUUGCGAAUAUACCUGAAUGUAUUAUGAGAAUAAGGAUCGGCUAACUCCGUGCCAGCAGCCGC
rnacentral:rRNA from 1 species